rnacentral:rRNA from 1 species
CCUACGGGAGGCAGCAGUGAGGAAUAUUGGUCAAUGGACGAGAGUCUGAACCAGCCACGUAGCGUGAAGGAUGACUGCCCUCUGGGUUGUAAACUUCUUUUAUAUGGGAAUAAAAUGUUCCACGUGUUGGAUUUUGUAUGUACCAUAUGAAUAAGGACCGGCUAACUCCGUGCCAGCAGCCGCGGUAAUACGGAGGAUCCGAGCGUUAUCCGGAUUUAUUGGGUUUAAAGGGAGCGUAGGUGGAUUGUUAAGUCAGAUGUGAAAGUUUGCGGCUCAACCGUAAAAUUGCAGUUGAAACUGGCAGUCUUGAGUACAGUAGAGGUGGGCGGAAUUCGUGGUGUAGCGGUGAAAUGCUUAGAUAUCACGAAGAACUCCGAUUGCGAAGGCAGUUCACUGGACUGCAACUGACACUGAGGCUCGAAAGUGUGGGUAUCAAACAGGAUUAGAUACCCUAGUAGUC